rnacentral:tRNA from 1 species
GUGAUAGUAGCUUAAUUUAGGGCGUUGGUCUUGUAAGCCAAAAGUGAAAUAUUUUUCCUAUCACU